rnacentral:lncRNA from 1 species
UUCCAGGCACUGCUUCCUGCAUCCAUCCUGGGCCUGUGGAUUUGCAACGACCCCUUUCGGACCAGUGAAAUGGCACGGCUGGGACUGGGGCUGCCCGAGGAAUUUCCUCCUUUCCUCCUCCAAGCUCUAUCUUGACAGCUGAGAGCAGCCAGAGCAUUCCUGCCAGCACACCCCGAACGUGCACAUCUGGAGAGUUAUCAUCAGGUCUGUCCUUAUGUUAUUUCUGCUUCCAUUGCCUCUACACCUGCUGCGGCCUUUCAGUGCUCGAAGAACUGUAGAGCAAGGAUCAAAAGCAAGAUUUUCUCCUUACUUGCAUAAGCUGCCCUACUAAAACAUGAAUCUCAUAAAUAAAGAAAUUGGGAAUUG